UGAUUAAGAUACACCUCGAUCUCAUGUGCACUCAUUGCCUUUCUCUCUGCCUGCACACACUGUGUGCGUGGAAAACUGCAUCUGCUUCAUAUUUGCAAUAUUGUCAUAGUUUGAUGACCAAGACUGUGGCUUCAGAACAAGGAUAAGCACUAACAAGGAAUCACGUGAAGGAAUCGAACCCAGUAUAAAGCAGGCUGAAAAGAAAGAGGAGGUGGAUCUCCAAACAGCCCCGGUAGACUUACAGUAUUUACGACUAAAGGAGGCUCGAUUAAAAUAAUAAUAAUAUUAAUAAUAAUAAUAACUUGGAGUCAAAGAAAAAAUGGACAAGUAGUUGGAAAAUAAGCCCAAGGAGGCUUAGUAAGCAGACAGCAGCCACGUCCAGCUGUGGAAAUUCUCUGCUAAAAAUAAUUGGAAGCUAGGCACGCACUUGCAAGAAGUUCCAUAUAUGCCUUCUCUGCAGUUCCCUAGCAUCUGUUCAUAGCCACUUGUGAGAUGAAUAUUGGACCAGGUGCACCUCUGGUUCAGCCCAGCACAGUCACAGGCACACUGACCUCCAAGACCCUGACACUGCGCUGAGAGGUGGGAAAGCACAAGAGAUCCUGACAGCUAAGUUACUGAGAAGGAGAAAGACUUUCCUCAAGCUGGUUAACUUCCUCAGUACCAGAGGUCUGGCAAAGAAAAGCAGAGAAACUACCAGAGUACCAGAAAUCCUUACAAGGAAACAGCUUUGCUGUAGCUCUGCAACCAGGAAACCAGGUGCCGUAGGAGCUGGUGGAAGGAGGCACGUAAAGGGGCUGCCGGGAUGAAGCAGGACAAUAACAAUCUUCUCACAUAAGAACAGAUUCUGGUCUGUUGAAAUGUAGAACCUAAUAGCAAUAUUGUCCAGGUUGAACUGCAGUGGGAGCACUGUCCUGCUCUCAGUAGCUCAGCAGAUGAGAAAAGAAACAGUGAUUUUGUCUGGAAAGAAAACUUCAGCAAGGCAUAUACCCAUGAAAGUGGGGUGAAGUGAGGAGAAAAGGCACAUGAAAGACUGUGAAAAGGAAUGGGGAGAAGAUACAAUAAAGAGGAGAAGUGAGACUUGAGCUGAAGAAAAGAGGGAGAGAAUCAAGCAGGGAUGAGAAGCUGGAAGAAAGACUGAAGCCACAGAGCCAAGCUGAGGCAGAAGUUGGAAGGAAUAAAUUUUCUUUGUGAUGUCCAUCAGAGCUUUUCCUGCCUAUAUUAUGCUGUCUUCGCAGUGGGAUGCUGCCUGUCUCCACAGCAACCAGCAGCCAGGAGACCUUUCUUCCCUGCCCGCAUUGACUGCCCUCUGGAGAGGUGCCCUCAAAUUGUCACUCUUAGAAAAGUCAGAAAAGAGAACAGUACAGAAAGCAUUUCAGAACACUCUCUCACUGAAUAUCUCCAACACAGAAGUGAGCUGGCCACACCUGUACAUUUCUUACAACAAAUUUGGCAGACCCCAGCACCCACUCGCUCAGGAACAAAACUUGCACAGACUCCUAAUUUUCAUAAUUGCUUUUGAUGUUUCAUUAAAACUAUUUUUGUUAGAUCUCCAAGGAAGGCUUGACGGGCAGCAUCUCACCUCAGGCCUCACAUUGCAUCACUUCUCAAGCAGUUCACAAUGAGAGCAGCUUCAUCAUCCACUUACUCAACAAUUUCCUAAGGAAAUGCAAUUCAAUUAGGCAAGGCCUGUGCCAAAAACUGACAUGUAGAUGGGAGAAGAUGAGAUUACCAGGAUCUCUCCUAACUGUACAGGCAAUAAAUCUAUUUUUUGAGUUGGCCAUAAUCGCAGAUCUCCACCAACACACCUGUGAAAUGAAAACAGAGUUACUCUUGUUCUUUGGUUAUAGCUUACCACGUGAUGGCAAACUGUUCAGUAUCUCAAGACACUGAUGCCCCUUGCGAUACACUCACUGUUAACCUCACAGAGUUGUACGAAAAUUCCAGCUACUCAUUGACACAAUGGGAAAACAAAAUGUUUCGUCCCACAACAACCUCUGGUAUUCAGCAGAAGGAAAAACAAAUUGCAGACAGUUAGGAUUUUCAGAAUAAAAUGUUGGCAUGUUUGCAGAGUUUUUUGCAGUUUCUUGUCAAGCACGUUGUGUGGGACUAAAAGGGACAACCUAGUCUCUAGAUG